GACGAACGCUGGCGGCGUGCUUAACACAUGCAAGUCGUGCGGAAAGGCUCCUUCGGGAGUACUCGAGCGGCGAAAGGGAGAGUAACGCGUGGAUAUCUACCCCCUGGACUGGGAUAGCGGCGGGAAACUGCCGGUAAUACCAGAUAAUGUCUGCGGACCAAAGGUGUGAUUCCGCCGGGGGAUGAGUCCGCGUCCUAUUAGCUAGUUGGUGGGGUAAUGGCCCACCAAGGCAAAGAUGGGUACCGGGUGUGAGAGCAUGGCCCGGCUCACUGGGACUGAGACACUGCCCAGACACCUACGGGUGGCUGCAGUCGAGAAUCUUCGGCAAUGGGCGCAAGCCUGACCGAGCGACGCCGCGUGCGGGAUGAAGGCCUUCGGGUUGUAAACCGCUGUCAGAGGGGAGGAAAUGCAUGAGGGUUCUCUCUCAUGUUUGACCUAUCCUCAGAGGAAGUACGGGCUAAGUUCGUGCCAGCCGCCGCAGUAACAC
rnacentral:rRNA from 1 species